ACAUUAAGUUUUCAUUUUCACUUAGAAAAAUGAAAGUCGUCAAGUCACUCAGAUCCAGUACAUAGCUUGGCCUGACCACGGAGUUCCCGAUGAUUCAAGUGACUUCUUGGAUUUUGUUUGUCAUGUCCGAAAUAAAAGGGCUGGCAAGGAAGAACCUAUUGUUGUUCAUUGCAGUGCUGGAAUUGGAAGAACGGGAGUUCUUAUCACUAUGGAAACAGCCAUGUGUCUCAUUGAAUGCAAUCAGCCAGUUUAUCCAUUAGACAUUGUGAGAACAAUGAGAGAUCAACGAGCCAUGAUGAUCCAAACACCUAGUCAGUACAGAUUUGUGUGUGAAGCUAUUUUGAAAGUUUAUGAAGAAGGCUUUAUUAAACCCUUAACAUCAACAAAUAAAUGAGAAAGCAAAAGAUUUGGAAUAUGUGUUGGAAAACUGCUUUUCAUUAUAUUCACUGUGCCAUAAUACUGCUCACAGGAAAUGGCAUCUAACAAAAGAAAAAAAUGAAGAACUCAAAAAAACUUUUGAAAACUUGAGCACUGUUGCACUUUAUGUUUUAAAAAAAAGUCACUCUUUCAAAAUCUGUAACUCAUGUGUUUGAAGACUAUUUCAUGCUUUGCUCCGAACAAAAAGUGAAUAACUGAGUAAGUUCAGGGUAAUGUAUGAAAUUCUGUGGUGGUGCCAUGCAGUCCCUUUCUGGUAGAAUUGCCAAACAAGGCUCUGAAUUCUCAUCAUCUCUGCUAUACGUCUGUAUCUUGAAAGCAAAAAGAAGCAAACGUCAGGAGUCAGCUCUGGUCUUUUCCAGCAGUUCAUGUACUUAACACUGAUAACCAGAUUUUAUUUUUUGAAUUUUAGCAAUAUCAUUCUCAAUAUUAGCCAGUACACUGCCUAUGGAUGCAGCACAUCUUUCCCUACACGUCCCCUGUAGAGACCUGCUGUUCAGAAGAAGAAAGGCGGAAUUUGCUGUUCCCAGGAAAUGCUGCAUAUUGUCCAUUUACCAGCAUCUUCUAGAAAGUAUAAAUAUGAAUCUACAAAUUUUCUUGGAUUUAAUAAUGUAACCUAUAUUUAUCAUAAGGUUGGCUUAUUCCAAAUCAUGUGACUUCACAUACUUGAUGUAAAGGAAUGCAUGCAUUGUGUCUUAACCCCGUAAGUGCCUUGAGACAUCUUUGUAUGUCUAAUGAAAAGGCACUCAUUUGACCCUACUAGGAGGUAUGUGUGUAUAUUGUACAUUCUUACAUUUUUAUGCAUUUUGAAUGAGUUAACAUUUUUAAAAACAGCUUCUUGUAUUGAGAGUUAUGCAGUCAAAGAAGAGUAAGGAAAUUCUUCUUAGUACUUGUAUUUUGCUAUAAGAAGCAAAGAUAAUUUGUGCUACUGAGUGUGUGCUCUGCUGCUAUGGAAUGAUUCAGAAUCUGCACAUUCCGUCACUGAGGGACAGGGAUUACAGUUUAUCAGCUCAGCUUAAAAAGAUGCUUUAUUCAGAUGCCAUAUUUAUUUUACUCCCAACUUUACGAAUGAUGUCUGACCUACAAAGUAGGGUUAAACUUAGUAAUACCCUGAGCCAAAGUUAGGGAACGAUUAGUUCAUUGUGAUUCAUUCCCAUCUAUAAUGAAAUGGUUAAUCUGCAAUUGAUGUCAGUGCUGUCAACAUUCUUUACACUGUUUGGGAUUCUCUUAAGUGAGGAAUAAAAUAGCUGAAUAAUUUAUAAUGUUCAUCCCUAAUAACUAAAAUUAAGAUUUUCUUGUCCUGUAUACCUGCCAGAUUGUAAGCAUGUUGAGAAAGCGACUUGGAUGAUCCAGUGUGAUCAGGACCUGCUGAACAAGGAUCUGAUCCCAUCAACAAUGUGUAUAUUUUCCUCUUCAGGCUUUUUUGUUUUUAAGUCGACAGAGAACUUUUACAUGGCCCAGUUUAACCUAAGCGAAAAUCUGGUCACCUUGUCAAAGUUGCUUACACAGUCACUUUACAUGGGUUGUGUUUAAAAUUGAUUGAUUUUUUUAAUGGUCUCUGAAUGGUUCUGUAUAGUCUUGAUAAAGUUUAGAAUGAAAUGGUAGAUCUUUUGGAAUGGUUUUUAGUAUAAGGGGAAAAUGUACAUUUACAAAUCUUCAUUGUAAUCUAAAUGACAUCAUUUCAUAUGACCAAAAUCCAUAAGGGAAAAUUUCAGGAAGUUAAGCUCCUAAACAUUAACAGCCACAAUACCAAAUAAAUUAUUAUAUUAAAAUAUUUUGUAUUUUAAAAGAAAGAUGGAAAUAUAAUUCCAUUAUUUCCUUUUAUCUAUUUCAUAAUCAACUCAAUAUAAGAUAGUAAAUUAAAUGUAGUCUUAUUUGAACAUUCCAUUCUCUACCAACAGAUAAAUGUAAUUUAGGUUGCUAUAAACUGACACAUUGAAAAGCGAAAAAGUAAAAUUCUGUUGAGGCCUAUAUAUUAAAUAAUAACUGUUUGGGCAGUUUUUUAUCUGAUUAAAUGUCCAUAACAGAAUGGAAACUAUGACAGCUAUAGGUAAAAAGAUGAUGGUGAUGUAAUUGUAAACAGAUGGCCUAAGUGGCAAGUUCUCCAGGGCUUUGUUUCCCAUGCUAAAGUAGCUCAAAUUGCUGGCAAUGAGCACUGCUACCUUAAUGCUUGUCUUUCAAUGAUAAUGUAUUAGAAGUGUAGACAUAUGUUUAAAUGUCGCCAAUGUGGAUUUUUAAUCUCAGAGCCACUUCUUUAUGAGUAUUCUUGUGUAUAGAAAAGAUUCUUUUUUAGAAGUAUUAUUAUUAGGAUCUUAAAUUUAAGGUAUCCUUCACAACUGCUUAAGCUAAAUAUGCUACAUACAUGUUUCACUAUUUCCCCAACAGAGAAGACUAUCUAUUACAGUUUAGAGAGUUUUUGCUUUGUUUUGUUUUUUGCCUGCUUACCAAUUUAAAUGGUUUUCAUAUACAAAGUACUUUUCAACUCCAUUCUUACAAAUGUGCUGUUGUGUAAUUGAAUUCCAAAAUUGUUAGGCUACUCACCUGAUCCACUAGCUGUCCCUACCCAUCUCCAGCCCUGUGGCCCCACCCCUACCCCAUCCCACUGAGGAAAUUAGUGUUGACUUUAGUGGAAAUCAGUUAUCAGUUAAUCAAGGAGCUUUAGCCAAUUAAAUGUUUAGGGCAUCCUUUCCUCUGAUUUAGGAGGGGUUCUUUGCGUUUUCAUUCAAGUUGUUGGAGCAUUGGAUUUCUGGCAGCCCUGUAUGGAUAGGAUGAGGGAUAAUUUGGAUUAGACUUUACAUUCACAAGAAAACUUGUUGUGCUUGUUCAACCAGUGCACCCAUUCAAACAGAAGCCGAUUAAACAGGCUACAAAAGAACUUCUUUUAUCUGAGCUGCUAGGACAA